AAAGAUUUAGGUUCAAAAUAGACCAAAGGCCUUCAAAGCCUUAAGCAGGUGUUAAACCACCUAAUCUUUG
rnacentral:tRNA from 1 species